rnacentral:tRNA from 1 species
GGGGUCGUGGUGUAACGGCAGCACAGCGAGCUUUUAACUCGCACGGUGGGGGUUCGAAUCCCUCCGGCCUCA